rnacentral:rRNA from 1 species
UGACUNGAGUGCAGAAGGGGAGAGUGGAAUUCCAUGUGUAGCGGUGAAAUGCGUAGAUAUAUGGAGGAACACCNGUGGCGAAAGCGGCUCUCUGGUCUGUCACUGACGCUGAGGCUCGAAAGCGUGGGUAGCGAACAGGAUUAGAUACCCUGGUAGUNCACGCCGUAAACGAUGAGUGCUAGGUGUUAGGCCCUUUCCGGGGCUUAGUGCCGGAGCUAACGCAAUAAGCACUCCGCCUGGGGAGUACGACCGCAAGGUUGAAACUCAAAGGAAUUGACGGGGGCCCGCACAAGCGGUGGAGCAUGUGGUUUAAUUCGAAGCAACGCGAAGAACCUUACCAGGUCUUGACAUCCCGAUGCUAUUCUUAGAGAUAGGAAGUUACUUCGGUACAUCGGAGACAGGUGGUGCAUGGUUGUCGUCAGCUCGUGUCGUGAGAUGUUGGGUUAAGUCCCGCAACGAGCGCAACCCUUAUUGUUAGUUGCCAUCAUUAAGUUGGGCACUCUAGCGAGACUGCCGGUAAUAAACCGGAGGAAGGUGGGGAUGACGUCAAAUCAUCAUGCCCCUUAUGACCUGGGCUACACACGUGCUACAAUGGUCGGUACAACGAGUUGCGAGCCGGUGACGGCAAGCUAAUCUCUGAAAGCCGAUCUCAGUUCGGAUUGGAGGCUGCAACUCGCCUCCAUGAAGUCGGAAUCGCUAGUAAUCGCGGAUCAGCACGCCGCGGUGAAUACGUUCCCGGGCCUUGUACACACCGCCCGUCACACCACGAGAGUUUGUAACACCCGAAGUCGGUGAGGUAACCUUUUAGGGGCCAGCCG